rnacentral:rRNA from 1 species
CAGCUUGUUGGUGGGGUAAUGGCCUACCAAGGCGACGACGGGUAGCCGGCCUGAGAGGGUGACCGGCCACACUGGGACUGAGACACGGCCCAGACUCCUACGGGAGGCAGCAGUGGGGAAUAUUGCACAAUGGGCGCAAGCCUGAUGCAGCGACGCCGCGUGAGGGAUGACGGCCUUCGGGUUGUAAACCUCUUUCAGUAGGGAAGAAGCCGCAAGGUGACGGUACCUGCAGAAGAAGCGCCGGCUAACUACGUGCCAGCAGCCGCGGUAAUACGUAGGGCGCAAGCGUUAUCCGGAAUUAUUGGGCGUAAAGAGCUCGUAGGCGGUUUGUCGCGUCUGCCGUGAAAGUCCGGGGCUCAACUCCGGAUCUGCGGUGGGUACGGGCAGACUAGAGUGAUGUAGGGGAGACUGGAAUUCCUGGUGUAGCGGUGAAAUGCGCAGAUAUCAGGAGGAACACCGAUGGCGAAGGCAGGUCUCUGGGCAUUAACUGACGCUGAGGAGCGAAAGCAUGGGGAGCGAACAGGAUUAGAUACCCUGGUAGUCCAUGCCGU